GAAAAACAUAGGUUUUCGUUUUCGUGUCCAACGUUUGACUGUUCGUGUUAUAUAAUUUUUUUAUAAUUAGUAUUUUUAUUGUUGUUAGAUGAUAAAACAUAAUUAAUACUUUAUGCGUAACUUAUCUUUUUAAUUUUGUUUAUAAUUUUUUCAAAUAACGGUUAAAUGUUGAACACGGAAACCCAGGGUU
rnacentral:pre_miRNA from 1 species